GCAGCAAGAGCUGGUGGUGGUGAAGCCCGGCCGCCCAACAAGAUCGGGUGAAAAGAAAAAGCCCCUCAUUGGCACCUCCUCGCUCCUAUGCAACCCCGCGAAAAGCGGGGGAAAGCCUUCACUCCGAGAAGAGGAGGAAAAUCAAAAAGGAAGGAUGACGAACUACGGCGGGAACGGAUGAGGGAUGAACCACACCAAAAGACCUAAAGGACUUCGUCCCAACUAAAACGGAGAGUUCCUACCGAACACCUCCGGCCGCUAAAAAGACUUUCGACACCGG
rnacentral:lncRNA from 1 species